CUGACCUCAUAAACCGCCCACCUCAGCCUCCCAAAGUGCUGGGAUUACAGGUGUGAGCCACCGCGCCCGGCCUUUAACCGGGUUAUCUUAAUAAAUGCUAGCAAGAAAAGAAGGAAGUAAGGCUAAAGCUGUAAUUGGUGGAUAAGUGGACAUCACUCAGAGGAGCCAGGAUGAAGAUUGUUUGGUUAUUUUUGAGGUUUGGACAAUGCUCAUGUUUUGUCUCUGUUCUGACAUGACUGUGGAGUGGUUUUGUCUUGUCUGACUCAUCACAGUCACCGAGUGACAUUGUUCUUCUCUCUCCCUCUCCCUAUCCAUGCCGGUGAAAAUCCUAAUUGUCCUUUGUGGUUCAUCUCAGAACCUCCUCCUCCACGAAGACUUCUAGGCUCACCCUGAAGUGGUCCCUGUUGGGACCACUGCCCCAUAAAACCCUUCCUUCAAAACCAUUUCAUGCUAAAAUGCGCUGCAUAGUGGAAGAGUCUGAUGGUCUUGAUACUGGUUGGAUAUCAAAGAAAGACAGCCUAUAUCAGAGGCCAGCAAGAAGAGUAAAAGGGCCCAAAGCGGUCAGUAAGGGCUGGGGGACAUUAUUUCCUAAUGACUAUGAAGAGGCUUGACCAUAGUGGGAAGCCCCAGGCACUCAGCCAGCAGAACCUGCCCACCAGGAAGCAAGGGCCAAGGUGAGCCAGAUGGAGGAUCUACCCACCUGUGGACUCCAUGAGUUGGAAGAUAUGACUCAGAAUUGAAAGAAGGACUUAUUUGUACAUUCUUCAGCACUACUGAUCACUUAGUCAUAAGGAUGGUUAGUCUUGGACCUAUGUCAGGUACAGAGUUGAGCUAAUUAUAUUCAGAAAUUAUGGUGGUUUCAGGGUUGAGUUUCCAGUACACACAGGGCGCUGGGCAAGCUGAAGCCCUGGGGUUUGCCAGUGGUGACAGUGGUUCCCUCACAAGACAAGCUCAGGUAAUGUUCCCAAACCCAGAGACAUCCACUUGAGGACUGGGUCUCCCCCAAAUCCUUUUAAC
rnacentral:lncRNA from 10 species